UACAGAGGGUGCAAGCGUUAAUCGGAAUUACUGGGCGUAAAGCGUGUGUAGGUGGUUGCGUAAGUUAGAUGUGAAAUCCCCGGGCUCAACCUGGGAAUUGCGUUUAAAACUGCGUAGCUAGAGUAUUGUAGAGGAUAGUGGAAUUUCCAGUGUAGCGGUGAAAUGCGUAGAUAUUGGAAGGAACACCAGUGGCGAAGGCGACUAUCUGGGCAAAUACUGACACUGAGACACGAGAGCAUGGGGAGCAAACAG
rnacentral:rRNA from 1 species